GGUGCCACUACAACCCUAAGGAAUUUAUGGUAAUGGGUGUUACAACUUGCUCUGCGGCCACACAUUCGUCUCGAUCCAGUCGAGGUAGUGUGCGACGCGCGUGUAGACGCCGGG